ACGCUGGCGGCAUGGCUAAAGCAUGCAAGUCGAACGCGAACGUGACUUCGGUCACUAUUAGAGUGGCGAACGGGCGAGGAAUCCGUUUCUAACGUGCCCCAAGGCCGAGGAUAGCCCGGAGAAAUCCGGGGUAAUACUCGAUGACCCCAUCGGAUCGCAUGUUCUGAUGGGCAAAGGCUUGCCACCUUGGGAUCGGGAAACGCCCUAUCAGGUUGUUGGUGAGGUAACGGCUCACCAAGCCUAAGACGGGUAGCGGGUGUGAGAGCAUGACCCGCCGCAUCGGGACUGAGACACUGCCCGGACUCCUACGGGAGGCUGCAGCAACGAAUCUUCCGCAAUGCGCGAAAGCGUGACGGAGCAAUGCCGCGUGCAGGAUGAAGCCCCUCGGGGUGUAAACUGCUGUCAGGGCUUAGGAAUUUUGACCAAACCCAAAGGAAGGGCCGGCUAACUUCGUGCCAGCAGCCGCGGUAAUACGAAGGGCCCGAGCGUUAAUCAGAAUCACUGGGCUUAAAGCGUGCGCAGGCGGAAACGUCAGUGUCUUGUGAAAUCCCACGGCUCAACCGUGGAAUUGCAGGGCAUACUGCGUUUCUUGAGGUCGGUAGAGGUCGCCGGAACUCUAGGUGUAGCGGUGAAAUGCGUAGAUAUCUAGAGGAACGCCGAAGGUGAAGACAGGCGACUGGGCCGAUUCUGACGCUCAGGCACGAAAGCGUGGGGAGCAAACAGGAUUAGAUACCCUGGUAGUCCACGCCGUAAACGUUGUGCACUAGAUCCUGGAGGUACUGACACCGUCGGGGUCGAAGAUAACUUGCUAAGUGCACCGCCUGGGGAGUACGGUCGCAAGGCUAAAACUCAAAGGAAUUGACGGGGGCUCACACAAGCGGUGGAGCAUGUGGCUUAAUUCGAGGCAACGCGAAGAACCUUACCUGGGUUUGACAUGCUUGGAUUAGCCUGUCGAAAGACAGGUAACGCUAAUUCUAGUGGAACUUGCACAGGUGCUGCAUGGCUGUCGUCAGUUCGUGCUGUGAAGUGUCGGGUUAAGUCCCUUAACGAGCGAAACCCCUGCCGCUAGUUGCCAUCAGGUCAAGCUGAGCACUCUAGCGGGACUGCCGGUGUCAAACCGGAGGAAGGUGGGGAUGACGUC
rnacentral:rRNA from 1 species